rnacentral:rRNA from 1 species
ACUCCUACGGGAGGCAGCAGUGGGGAAUUUUGGACAAUGGGCGAAAGCCUGAUCCAGCCAUGCCGCGUGCAGGAUGAAGGCCUUCGGGUUGUAAACUGCUUUUGUACGGAACGAAAAGACUCUGGUUAAUACCUGGGGUCCAUGACGGUACCGUAAGAAUAAGCACCGGCUAACUACGUGCCAGCAGCCGCGGUAAUACGUAGGGUGCAAGCGUUAAUCGGAAUUACUGGGCGUAAAGCGUGCGCAGGCGGUUAUAUAAGACAGAUGUGAAAU